rnacentral:tRNA from 1 species
UCCUGGUUGGCUCAAUUGGUAGAGCACUCCACUGAAAAUGAAGAGGUCCCUGGUUCGAUACCAGUGCCGGGUG